rnacentral:rRNA from 1 species
GACGAACGCUGGCGGCGUGCUUAACACAUGCAAGUCGAACGGAAAGGCCCUGCUUUUGUGGGGUGCUCGAGUGGCGAACGGGUGAGUAACACGUGAGUAACCUGCCCUUGACUUUGGGAUAACUUCAGGAAACUGGGGCUAAUACCGGAUAGGAUCUCCUGCUGCAUGGUGGGGGUUGGAAAGUUUCGGCGGUUGGGGAUGGACUCGCGGCUUAUCAGCUUGUUGGUGGGGGAGUGGCUUACCAAGGCUGUGACGGGUAGCCGGCCUGAGAGGGUGACCGGCGACCAUGGGACUGCGAGACGGCCCAGACUCCUACGGGAGGCAGCAGGCGGGAGUAUUGCACAAUGGGCGGAAGCCGGAUGCAGCAACGCCGCGUGCGGGAUGACGGCCUUCGGGUUGUAAACCGCUUUCGCCUGUGACGCAGCGUGAGUGACGGUAACGGGUAAAGAAGCACCGGCUAACUUCGUG